GGGGUGUGCUCAGAGCAGAGGUUCCGAAGAAUGGCUCCUCUGUUUACAACACACCCAACAGCAACCCAGGGCCGUUGUGAAGAGGGGCACAACCCUUGUGACCUCCCAAUGAGCAAAUGCCCUACACGU
ensembl:snoRNA